rnacentral:tRNA from 1 species
GCCCCCGUAGCUCAAUCGGAUAGAGCAACGGACUUCUAAUCCGUAGGUUGCACGUUCAAGUCGUGCCGGGGGUGCCA